GGUGGGGUGGCUGAGUGUUGAGGCGGCGGGUUGUAGCUCCGCGUACGGAGGUUAAAUCCCUUCCCCCAUCA
rnacentral:tRNA from 1 species